rnacentral:lncRNA from 1 species
AUUGGGAGACUCACUGCUCUUGUUAAACUUGAUCUGUCAAACAACAAUAUCAACGGCUCAAUUCCUCAUUCCAUUGGAAAUUUGGCAAGUUUAUCUUUUCUUGACCUUGAGGAAAAUGGACUUUCGGGACCCAUACCUUCAGAAAUUGGGAGACUCACUGCUCUUGUUAAACUUGACCUAUCAAACAACAAUAUCAACGGCUCAAUUCCUCAUUCCAUUGGAAAUUUGGCAAGUUUAUCUUUUCUUGACCUCGAGGAAAAUGGACUUUCGGGACCCAUACCUUCAGAAAUUGGGAGACUUGCUGCUCUUGAUGAACUUGACCUAUCAAACAACAAUAUCAACGGCUCAAUUCCUCGUUCCAUUGGAAAUUUGACAAGUUUAUCUUUUCUUGACCUCAAGGAAAAUGGACUUUCGGGACCCAUACCUUCAGAAAUUGGGAGGCUCACUGCUCUUGUUGAACUUCACCUAUCAAACAACAAUAUCAACGGCUCAAUUCCUCAUUCCAUUGGAAAUUUGACAAGUUUAUCUCUUCUUAGCCUUGAGGAAAAUGGACUUUCGGGACCCAUACCUUCAGAAAUUGGGAGACUCACUGCUCUUGUUAAACUUGACCUAUCAAACAACAAUAUCAACGGCUC